rnacentral:rRNA from 1 species
UACGAAGGGGGCUAGCGUUGCUCGGAAUCACUGGGCGUAAAGGGCGCGUAGGCGGCCUGAUAAGUCGGGGGUGAAAGCCCGUGGCUCAACCACGGAACGGCCUUCGAUACUGUUGGGCUUGAGUGUGGCAGAGGUCGGUGGAACUGCGAGUGUAGAGGUGAAAUUCGUAGAUAUUCGCAAGAACACCGGUGGCGAAGGCGGCCGACUGGGCCAUCACUGACGCUGAGGCGCGAAAGCGUGGGGAGCAAACAGG